rnacentral:rRNA from 1 species
CAGUCGCCGCGGUAAUACGAAGGGGGCUAGCGUUGCUCGGAAUGACUGGGCGUAAAGGGCGCGUAGGCGGAUGAUUCAGUCAGAUGUGAAAUUCCUGGGCUUAACCUAGGGGCUGCAUUUGAUACGUGUUGUCUAGAGUGAGGAAGAGGGUCGUGGAAUUCCCAGUGUAGAGGUGAAAUUCGUAGAGAUUGGGAAGAACACCGGUGGCGAAGGCGGCGACCUGGUCCUUGACUGACGCUGAGGCGCGAAAGCGUGGGGAGCAAACAGGAUUAGAUACCCGCGUAGUCCCUGUCUCUUAACA